UGGNUUCGCNCCACCGGCUAACUUCGUGCCGGCAGCCGCGGUAAUACGAAGGGUGCAAGCGUUAAUCGGAAUUACUGGGCGUAAAGGGUGCGCAGGCGGUUCGUUAAGUCUGUUGUGAAAUCCCCGGGCUCAACCUGGGAAUGGCAAUGGAUACUGGCGGGCUAGAGUGUGUCAGAGGAUGG
rnacentral:rRNA from 1 species